GACGAACGCUGGCGGCGUGCUUAACACAUGCAAGUCGAACGAAGAGCGAUGGACGCUUGCUUCUAUCAAUCUUAGUGGCGAACGGGUGAGUAACGCGUAAUCAACCUGCCCUUCAGAGGGGGACAACAGUUGGAAACGACUGCUAAUACCGCAUACGAUCUGACCUCGGCAUCGAGGAUAGAUGAAAGGUGGCCUCUACAUGUAAGCUAUCACUGAAGGAGGGGAUUGCGUCUGAUUAGCUAGUUGGAGGGGUAACGGCCCACCAAGGCGAUGAUCAGUAGCCGGUCUGAGAGGAUGAACGGCCACAUUGGGACUGAGACACGGCCCAGACUCCUACGGGAGGCAGCAGUGGGGAAUCUUCCGCAAUGGACGAAAGUCUGACGGAGCAACGCCGCGUGAGUGAUGACGGCCUUCGGGUUGUAAAGCUCUGUUAAUCGGGACGAAAGGCCUUUUUGCGAAUAGUGAGAAGGAUUGACGGUACCGGAAUAGAAAGCCACGGCUAACUACG
rnacentral:rRNA from 1 species